rnacentral:lncRNA from 1 species
AACAUGAAGAGGGAGAUAAGCAGAAGGUUAGCCAUAACCAUGGAAAGCAUAAAUCCAGGCAAAGGGCAGAUGUGGCUCUAACGUUAGCAGCACAAUCACCUGUUAUUCCUGAUUUUCUUUUGUAGCAAUGAGUGCUGGGAUCUUGAUCGUCAAUAUGAUAAAUUUGAUCAAUACGGCUUAGGUGAGUUCUUCUGUACAUUACGCUUCAUUUUUUUUUUUUGUUUUUUUGUUUUAGUUACUCAUUGUACUUGCAAUUGGUGAAGUGGUUUUUCUCCAUCUUUUCUGAUUUUACCGUGUGAAAUUUCUUUUGGAAAGGGUAUACUUUUGAGUUCUUAAAACUUGUACAAGGAAACUUUUGCAAGGGCUUGACCAGUUAUGAUCCCUUGGUUCUGUUUGUUUUUGUAUUCAUCUCUCAUCUAUGCAUGGUCACACACAUUCUUUGCUAGUUUGAUGAGAGAUAAAAGGCAAGGCACAAAGACAUUUUCCAAACUUAAAACUAAGUGAACUUAUACUCGGUUGUAUAACUGCCCCAAGUAAAAUGAUAUAGAGGCUGAUAAGAAUAUAAGAGGGCUAAUCAAUACACUAUGGAAAAAGCCUAAGGUUUUUGUUCAAUAAAUGCAGAGGGAAUCUCCUUUACUUGGUGGAUAAGAUAUGAGGCUUGUGAAAUUUUCACCAUGAUGCCAAUAUACGCUUGGUGAGAGUUCAUAGUCUCUCAGGAAAAAGAAGAGAAUUGGACAUGCUCUGAGUAUGGUUAUCAGAAAAAUAUUCACAGGUGAAGGAUUCAGGUGAAAUACUCUCACAUUGUGCCUUAGUACGAGCUGCUUGUAGGUUGCUGUGCCUUGGCGCUAUAACUGAAAAAUCCAGCAAAUGGCGAUCAAAAGAAACAAAAAAAAAACUCUCUCAGCAUAUGAUGUCUCACACAAAUGGCGAUCAAAAGAAUAAAAAAACUCUCUCAGCGUUGUUAUGGGGACACUACAUAAAAGUGGCUAAUACAAUUUGCAAUGAUGUCACACAAUAUAGUUGUCGUUGCAAAUUAGGUAACCCUUUACUUCUCCUUCGUAUAGUUGUGUCCAAAGAAAGAAGUAACGUCAUGAAAGGGAUUCAUCACGAGUGGAUCAGUGCAAGAUCAUCACAAUAAAUUCAAGAUUAAAUGACACCUAUUGAACAUAUUUUUAGUUAACGAGUGGAUCAGUGCAAGAUCGUCACAAUAAAUGAUUAGGUUUGACAAUUAACCUACUUUUUACUAAGUAAUAAUAGUACUUUCAAUAAACAUCAUUGCGGUAAGCAAUUUAGGUUCCAAUUUAGGUUCCGGAGACAAUAAAAGGAAAUUGCUUGGAUGGUAAGCAUUUUUCAUUUUAAUAUUGAGGUUGUGGAUUCAAGCAAUUUAAAAAAUUAUUAUUAUAUAUAAGGGGGAAUCUUCCUUUUUGAUAGUCCUCACAAAUAUUUUAGUGCAAUUAGAUAAUCACAUAUGUUUAUUUUUUUUUUGAUACAUAUUAUUACAUUUGUCCACAUUUAUUAUUUUAUGAUAUUUUUGUUUGUAUAUUUAUAAUUGAAGUAUACAUAAUAGUAAUUUUUUAUAAAUCUCUUCUUGAUUCUUAUUAGAUAACUUGUUCUUUUUUACUUAUUUUUUAUAUUAAAAAUUAAUUAUUUUUCUUACUUAUUUAUUUUAGUAAAUCACGGAAGAUUUAUAUUUUUUUUCUAUAUUCUUUUUUUUUUUUUUUGGGGAAGAAAAGGAAAUGCAUUAAUGUAAAUAAAAAAUUUUUUUUUUUUUUUUUUUUUUUGGUGAAGAAGAGGAAAUGCAUUAAUGUAAAUAAAGGUUAGUUACAAGUAAGACCUAAUCAGGUACAAAAACAUGAGCGUUUUGGUUAAGACUACCAUUGCUAGAUACAACUCGGGAGAAGGAUUUCCCCUUGAAGUCUUCCCAAAAAACUAUUCCUAUACUAACUGGAGGAGUAACAAAAAUAUGAAGGUUGUCAAACAGGUCUUGCUUUGAGCACAUCUUCGCCAUUGAAUCUGCUACUCUAUUCUGCUCCCGAUAUAUGUGCUAAACUGGAGGAUUCCCUAGAGAUCUACAUACAAAUACAAUAGAAUUAUAUAGCAAGUUUCUAUGAUGCAACACAUUAAUCACUUCUAGAGAGUCAAUACAGAUAUCUAAUGACUUUAAGUUAUGUUCCAUGGCCAAGUUGAGGCCUUCUUUAAGGGCUAAGAGUUCCAUGAGAUUGUUAUUGGCAUGGGUGAAGCUCCUGCUGAGCCCUACUACCCAAUCUCCUCUACUAUUCUUGAUGACCCCCCUAUCCCUCCCCUACUUGGUUCCCAAAACAGGACCCAUCAUUGUUGAGUUUGAAGGGGGGGUUGCCAUUUAAUGGUGAUGCUGGUCCUAGGGAGGUAAUUUCUAAGAUCUCCUAGGUGAUGGUACUCCAUUGCUUCAGCAUGGGGUAUGCUGAAGCAAGGUUGAAAGUUAGAAUUUUGGAAAUUCUUGCUAUUUUUUAUCUUCCAGAGAUGCCAGAGACAGAAAGGGAGCAAGGUGCUCUGGGUCAAAAUCCUCAUUACUCGGGAUUUACCAGGUGGAGUACCAAUUAUUGAUGUCAAACAUAAGGAUAUUUAGUUGCAGGGUUCCUUUGUAUUUUUAGAUAAGAUGGUGCCAAAAGGUCUUGGCAACAAUGCAUCCAAAGAAGAUGUGGUGUUGGUCCUCCUAGCUAUUGUUGCAGUUGUGACAUGAGGAGGUGAUGUUCAGGCCCCUUUUUAGUUUUAGUGAGUAUGAGUUUGCUGUGAGGCUUGCUGUUGAGAAAAUUAAGGAGUUUUUGAAUGAUGAUGAUCCGAAUCUCAAGUAUCUUGGUUUGCAAGCGCUUACUAUUGUUGCGCCUAAACAUUUGUGGGCAGUCAUGGAGAACAAGGAUUUGUGAUCAAAUCGUUGAGUGAUGCGGAUGCAAAUAUUAAACUCGAGGUCUUGCAGCUUGUUUUGGCUAUGGUUUCUGAAGAUAAUGGAUGGAUAUUUGUAAGGUUUUGAUUAAUUAUGCUCUUAAGUUGGACCCGGAGUUUUGUAAUGAGAUUCUGAACUUGAAAAUGCAAGUUUGAGAAGAAGCAAACGCCAUUCUCGUGGUAAGGAGAAGAAACAUAGAAGUACUGCAAAAGAUAGAGAUGAACAUGAAGAGGGAGAUAAACAGAAGGUUAGCCAUCACCAUGGAAAGCAUAAAUCCUGACAAAGGGCAGAUGUAGCUGUAACGUUAGCAGCACAAUCACCUGUUAUUCCUGAUUUUCUUUUGUAGCAAUGAGUGCUGGGAUCUUGAUCGUCAAUAUGAUAAAUUUGAUCAAUACGGCUUAGGUGAGUUCUUCUGUACAUUACGCUUCAUUUUUUUUUUUUGUUUUUUUGUUUUAGUUACUCAUUGUACUUGCAAUUGGUGAAGUGGUUUUUCUCCAUCUUUUCUGAUUUUACCGUGUGAAAUUUCUUUUGGAAAGGGUAUACUUUUGAGUUCUUAAAACUUGUACAAGGAAACUUUUGCAAGGGCUUGACCAGUUAUGAUCCCUUGGUUCUGUUUGUUUUUGUAUUCAUCUCUCAUCUAUGCAUGGUCACACACAUUCUUUGCUAGUUUGAUGAGAGAUA